UACGUAGGGUGCAAGCGUUGUCCGGAAUUAUUGGGCGUAAAGAGCUCGUAGGCGGUCUGUCGCGUCGGCUGUGAAGUCCCGGAGCUCAACUCCGGGUCUGCAGUCGAUACGGGCAAACUGGAGUACUGCAGGGGAGACUGGAAUUCCUGGUGUAGCGGUGAAAUGCGCAGAUAUCGGGAAGAACACCCGUGGCGAAGGCGGCACUCUGGGACGGUACUGACGCUGAGACGCGAAAGCGUGGGGAGCGAACAGG
rnacentral:rRNA from 1 species